rnacentral:rRNA from 1 species
AGAGUUUGAUCCUGGCUCAGAUUGAACGCUGGCGGCGUGCUUAACACAUGCAAGUCGAACGUGAAAGUCCUUCGGGGCGAGUAAAGUGGCGCACGGGUGAGUAACGCGUGGAUAAUCUACCCUUAAGAUGGGGAUAACGGCUGGAAACGGUCGCUAAUACCGAAUACGCUCCCGAUUUUAUCAUUGGGGGGAAAGAUGGCCUCUGCUUGCAAGCUAUCGCUUAAGGAUGAGUCCGCGUCCCAUUAGCUAGUUGGCGGGGUAACGGCCCACCAAGGCAACGAUGGGUAGCCGGUCUGAGAGGAUGACCGGCCACACUGGAACUGGAACACGGUCCAGACUCCUACGGGAGGCAGCAGUGGGGAAUAUUGCGCAAUGGGCGAAAGCCUGACGCAGCGACGCCGCGUGAGGGAUGAAGGUUCUCGGAUCGUAAACCUCUGUCAGGGGGGAAGAAACCCCCUCGUGUGAAUAAUGCGAGGGCUUGACGGUACCCCCAAAGGAAGCACCGGCUAACUCCGUGCCAGCAGCCGCGGUAAUACGGAGGGUGCAAGCGUUAAUCGGAAUCACUGGGCGUAAAGCGCACGUAGGCGGCUUGGUAAGUCAGGGGUGAAAUCCCACAGCCCAACUGUGGAACUGCCUUUGAUACUGCCAGGCUUGAGUACCGGAGAGGGUGGCGGAAUUCCAGUGUAGGAGUGAAAUCCGUAGA